UACGGAGGGUGCAAGCGUUGUCCGGAUUUAUUGGGUUUAAAGGGUGCGUAGGCGGCUUUUUAAGUCAGUGGUGAAAUCCAACAGCUCAACUGUUGAACUGCCAUUGAUACUGGAGAGCUUGAGUACAGACGAGGUAGGCGGAAUUUAUGGUGUAGCGGUGAAAUGCAUAGAUACCAUAAAGAACACCGAUUGCGAAGGCAGCUUACUAGGCUGUAACUGACGCUGAGGCACGAAAGUGUGGGGAGCAAACAGG
rnacentral:rRNA from 1 species